rnacentral:lncRNA from 1 species
GGAGGCUGAUUUCUCAUUGUAAGGAGGAGUAGCUCUCCGCAGAGCCUCGGGAGAUAGGCUCAGGUCAGGAGGCUAAUUGCUGGUGAAAUAGCAUCGAAGGGGAAGGGAGAAAGAUGAAGAAAGAAAGCUCUGUCUCUGAAGCCUGCCUGCCUUUGAGGUUCUUCACCCAUAGGAGGUAGAGUCAAUGGGAGUGGAACAAGUGAAUGAAUGAAGGGAUGAACGAGGGCAAGAAAUUCAAAAGAAGUGCAACAUCCUGGUCUAACCUACAGUCAGCAAACAAGAAGAACAACUAACAGAGUAAUUCAGAGACUCCAUCUGGCUUCUUGCCCUGGAUGCUGACCAGUUUGCUUCUGUGACAUUAACCUGGUGCCUGAGAGUCUGAGUGUCAAUUUUGUACAGCUAUACAUAAAAGAUUUGAAAAUGAAUAUCACUCAGAGGACAAUGAAGAGCCACUUAAUGGAGACUCGAAUACAGGACUACAAUCCCCACAAGCCUUUGCUCCACUUCCCCAGAAUGCCUUGUAAUCUCACCUGGGCCGAGAUCGAGAAGGGAGGAUCAUCUCCAGACCUGUAAUACUGAGCAAACAGUUAAAAUGGAAAUUAAAAUCAGGAAAGCAUACUUUACUAGACAUGAAAACUGAAAAUCAAGGAUUGGAAGUGACCAAUUGAAAGAGAAACCGGCA